rnacentral:rRNA from 1 species
CCUACGCGAGGCAGCAGUCGAGAAUCUUUCACAAUGGGGGAAACCCUGAUGGAGCGACGCCGCGUGGGGGAUGAAUGGCUUCGGCCCCGUAAACCCCUGUCAUCUGCGAUCAAACCUUUUCAGUGAACAACUGAGAAGCUGAUAGUAGUAGAAGAGGAAGGGACGGCUAACUCUGUGCCAGCAGCCGCGGUAAUACAGAGGUCCCAAGCGUUGUUCGGAUUUACUGGGCGUAAAGGGUGCGUAGGUGGCGGGGUAAGUUUGAUGUGAAAUCUCUGAGCUCAACUCAGAAACGGCAUUGAAUACUACCUUGCUCGAGGGUUGGAGGGGGGACUGGAAUUCUCGGUGUAGCGGUGAAAUGCGUAGAUAUCGAGAGGAACACCAGUGGCGAAGGCGAGUCCCUGGACAACUCCUGACACUGAGGCACGAAAGCUAGGGGAGCAAACAGGAUUAGAUACCCUGGUAGUCCUAGCCCUAAACUGUGCACGUUUGCUGUGGGCGGAUUCGACCCCGCCCGUGGCGAAGCUAACGCGUUAAACGUGCCGCCUGGGGAGUACGGUCGCAAGAUUAAAACUCAAAGGAAUUGACGG